AUUGUCUGAAAGAAGCUAUGAACAGUUUCGAAAUGUAUUCCAUACUUUCACAAGUUUUGUGUGCGUUUGCAGGUGACCAGUGGUUAGUUAGAAAAUGGACGAAUACACAUCUACCAGUCUCCUAGAACCAUUAACAUUAAUCCUUACCCAGGGCGCUUUGUUGGAAAAGGCCGUGUACGUCAACCGCGUGACGGAAGAGACGUGGAACUAGAGUGUAACUUUGCUGGAUUAAAUGUUAAACUUGUGUCUAAUGUUGUUUGGGAGAAGAUUGAAGGACCUUACUUCUUUGUUGACGCUUCAUUCCCUUAUCAUUGCCCCAGCUGCUCCGUUCAUUAUGUCAACAACUACCGAUGCAGCGUGCUAAACUUCCGCGACGGAUCCUUUCUUCACAUCAGCGAUGUUUCACCUGAAGAUAUCGGUAUCUAUCGCUGUAGUGGCACCUCGCAACUGUCUCGUUCAGGACUUGCUGAGACUGUUUAUCAGAUUGUUGAAUGUUUUUAAGUGUAAACCAAAAAGCUGAAUGAGCUUUUUGCAUUGAUUCCAUGGGAAUGAAAGAGAACUUUAAAAUAAACGGAUAAAAUUUUAUUAAAAUAAAGCAAGUAAAAGAAAAUUGGUUACUCUCCAUCAGCAGUGGUUUUACGUGUGUGUGGAUAUAUAUAUAUAUAUACACACACACAGAGAUAUAUGUUAUGGUUAUGGAAUAUUCAUAUAUAUGGAAUGAAACAGAAUAGGUGACACUAUAGGGAAUACAGUUAUAAAGCCAGAGACCCAUAACUAAAAUAUCAUCGUAAUUUAAUUUAGUAACAUAACCGUUAACUAUAUGCAGGUAUCUUUUUAUGUUUUUUUUAUAAAAACUAUAGAAAAGCGCGGGAACAAAAGAAGCGUGUUCUAAUUAUUGGCGUAGUAAAUGAAAUAUUUUUUCCUCAGUCUGUAGUAGAUUUAGGCCAGUGGCAAUCAGUAUUUUGUUUUAACAAACUAGAGAUUCUAUUACUAUUACAAAGUUAAGCUAAAGCUAUUGAUUAAAAUUUAGACUCUUUAUUGGAUAUUUGUACUUUAGUAUUUUAGA
rnacentral:misc_RNA from 1 species